AUGUCUGAGAGAAAUGCAACAUCGGCAUUGCAGGAGGAGAAUGUCCUUAAGAGAAAGUCAGAUGAUGUGGGAUGGGACUAUGGGAGUCUAGCUGAUGCUUCCAACAAGGAUAAAGUGAAGUGUAUUUUCUGUAACCAUGUGAGCACUGGAGGUGUUUAUCGUCACAAGCAGCAUGUGGCUCAUGUUGGUAAUGUUGUGGUCAAAUGUAAAAAAAGCUCGCAGGAAGCUAAAGAUAGGUGCAAGAAAUCUCUUGAAGAGGCAUCUAAUAAGAGGCGGGAAAAGACUGCCCAUGAGAAAGAGCUCAGACAAACUGUGAACAUUUCUCGCAUUGGAGAUGACGAAGCCGCUUGUAUCAGAAGUGCGGAGCCACACAAGUUAGGUCCCAUUGACAAGUGGACACGGCCUAUUGAUCCUAAACUGACUCAAGCUGAAGCCUUGCAUCAACAGAAGAUAAACAAGGAACUUUGGAAAAAGAGAACACAUGAAGUGCAGCAGUAUGUGGCUAGAUGGGUGUACAAUCAUGCUAUACCAUUCAAUGCUUGUGACAAUGAUGAUUUCAAGUUAAUGUGCGAAGCCAUUGGGAACUUUGGCCCUGGAUUUGAGCCUCCUCUAAACAUGAUCUUCGAGAGACUUUGUUGA
rnacentral:rRNA from 1 species